CGCGUAGGUGGCUUUGUAAGUCAGAGGUGAAAUCCCGGGGCUCAACCCCGGAACUGCCUUUGAAACUACAUCGCUAGAGUCUUGGAGAGGUUAGUGGAAUUCCGAGUGUAGAGGUGAAAUUCGUAGAUAUUCGGAAGAACACCAGUGGCGAAGGCGACUAACUGGACAAGUACUGACACUGAGGUGCGAAAGCGUGGGGAGCAAACA
rnacentral:rRNA from 1 species